rnacentral:misc_RNA from 1 species
CCGAGUGAGGGUCUUCUAGGCCCGACCUCCCAACCCUUUGUUUACUGAACCAUUGUUGCUUCGGCGGACCCGUCUUGACUGACCGCCGGAGGACCGCUGCGAGGCGUCCUCUGGCCAGUGUUCGUCGAUAGCCCAACCUUCUAAACUCUGAAUGAAUCGUGUCUUAUGUCUAAGUCAAAUGAUAAAUUAAAGCA